rnacentral:rRNA from 1 species
CAGGGAAUCUUGCGCAAUGGGCGAAAGCCUGACGCAGCGACGUCGCGUGGGGGAUGAAUGCCUUCGGGUUGUAAACCCCUUUUGUUUGGGGCGAAGUUCUGACGGUACCAAACGAAUAAGCCUCGGCUAACUACGUGCCAGCAGCAGCGGUAAUACGUAGGAGGCGAGCGUUGCCCGGAUUUAUUGGGCGUAAAGGGCGCGUAGGCGGCCUGGAAAGUCCUUUGUGAAAUCUCCCGGCUUAACUGGGAGCGGUCAGAGGAAACUGCCAGGCUUGAGGGGAGCAGAGGAGAACGGAAUUCCCGGUGUAGCGGUGAAAUGCAUAGAUAUCGGGAGGAACACUUGUGGCGAAGGCGGUUCUCUGGGCUCUUCCUGACGCUGAGGCGCGAAAGCGUGGGGAGCAAACCGGAUUAGAUACCCCCGUAGUCC